GGAGGCAGCAGUAGGGAAUUUUUCACAAUGGACGAAAGUCUGUUGGAGCAAAUCCGCGUGAGUGGAGAAGGUCUUCGGAUUGUAAAACUCUGCUGUAAGGGAAGAACAAAUAUGUGAGUAAAUGCUCGUACCUUGACGGUACCCUACGAGAAGAACCACGGCUAAAUACGUGCCAGCAGCCGCGGUAAUACGUAGGGGGCGAGCGUUUUUCGGAAUUAUUGGGGGUAAAGCGCGCGCAGGGGGGCUUUUAAGUUAGAUGUGAAAUCCCCCGGGUCUACCCCGGAGAGUCAUUUGAAAAUGGGAAGGCUUGAGUGCGGGAGAGAAGAGGGAGAAUUCCCCGUGUAGGGGUGAAAUAUGUAGAUAUAUGGAAGGAACACCCGUGGCGAAAGGGGGCCCCUUGGUUUGUAACUGACGCUGAGGCGCGAAAAAGUGUGAGGCAAAAACAAUUAGAUACCCCGGUAGUCCACGCCCUAAAAGAUGAGUGCUAGGUAUUGGGGGGUUUCAACCCCUCAGUGCCGAAGCUA
rnacentral:rRNA from 1 species